UUUGGAUUUCAGGUAUUCGCUUGGUUCUUUGGAAUUUGAGAGGAAAGUCCGGACACCACAGGGCAGGAAUCCCCGUGAAAGCGGGGGCACUUCGUGUAGUGCGAGGUGACGGCCAGUGUCACAGAAAACGAUACCGCCAGGAAUUCGUUCCUGGUAAGGGUGAAAAGGUGGGGUAAGAGCCCACCGCGCUUUCGGGUAACCGGAGCGGCAGGAUAAACCCAUUCUGGUGCAAGACAAAUAGGGGGUCGGGUUGCCCGCCCAAUGAUCCCGGGUAUGUCGCACUCCGUGAUCGGAGAACAGGUUCACCUGUUAGAUAAAUGAAUACCGGCCCGCAAGGGUCACAGAAUCCGGCUUAAGGAGAUCCAAAGCUA
rnacentral:RNase_P_RNA from 1 species